CACGUGGGGAACCUGCCCCAUAGUCUGGGAUACCACUUGGAAACAGGUGCUAAUACCGGAUAAGAGAGCAGAUCGCAUGAUCAGCUUUUAAAAGGCGGCGUAAGCUGUCGCUAUGGGAUGGCCCCGCGGUGCAUUAGUUAGUUGGUAAGGUAAAGGCUUACCAAGGCGAUGAUGCAUAGCCGAGUUGAGAGACUGAUCGGCCACAUUGGGACUGAGACACGGCCCAAACUCCUACGGGAGGCAGCAGCC
rnacentral:rRNA from 1 species